rnacentral:rRNA from 1 species
CCUACGGGAGGCAGCAGUGGGGAAUAUUGCACAAUGGGCGAAAGCCUGAUGCAGCGACGCCGCGUGGGGGAUGACGGCCUUCGGGUUGUAAACCUCUUUCAGCAGGGAAGAAGCGAGAGUGACGGUACCUGCAGAAGAAGCGCCGGCUAACUACGUGCCAGCAGCCGCGGUAAUACGUAGGGCGCAAGCGUUGUCCGGAAUUAUUGGGCGUAAAGAGCUCGUAGGCGGCUUGUUGCGUCGGUUGUGAAAGCCCGGGGCUUAACCCCGGGGUCUGCAGUCGAUACGGGCAGGCUAGAGUGUGGUAGGGGAGAUCGGAAUUCCUGGUGUAGCGGGUGAAAUGCGCAGAUAUCAGGAGGAACACCGGUUGGCGAAGGUGGAUCUCUGGGCCAUUACUGACGCUGAGGAGCGAAAGCGUGGGGAGCGAACAGGAUUAGAUACCCUGGUAGUCCACGCCGUAAACGUUGGGAACUAGGUGUUGGCGACAUUCCACGUCGUCGGUGCCGCAGCACGCAUAACGUUACCCGGUCCGGGGUACGGUACGGCCGCGACGACGUAAACGUAACAAAGAGAAGUAAGUACGGCGUUGAGACGUUAGACCGAAGGACGACGACGAGGGAGGAGG